rnacentral:lncRNA from 1 species
AGUUAUUUCUCUCCUGCGUGCGCCGUUUCUUCCCAAAACUCCUCCUUUUUCCUUCAUUUCGCACAGAACAGGGAAGGGCUUCGAGAGCACAUCACCCAGGUAUGGUUUCCCCUUUAUUUCUCUUUGAUUUGCGAAGAAAAGAACAAAGGAAAACAAAAGAAAAAGGAAAGAAAUCGAGGAAAAAAAGAAAAAAAACCUUCAAAUUGCUCUUUAAUUCUCUGUUUUUUUAAUAGGUUUUGAUAUCAUCCCCCUCUUCGUUCCAAAAAUAAAAAAAAGGUUGCUUUUCCCUUUUUUAUUUGUUUUAUUUGUAAGUAGAUAAAAAAUAAUAAUAAAUAACAGUAAUGGAAAUGGUGAAUAUCAACCUUUUGAUCGAUGUUUGCUCUCCGUAUUGCACUUCUCUGUUUUUUUAUUGUGAAAAAUACUUGUUUUUUAUUGAUUUCUUUCUUUUCGAUCCCUAUUACAGUAUGUUAAGAUCGCUUUUAUAGCAAUCAUGAAACAAGAAGAAAAGAAAGAAAUAAAAUAAAAAAGAAAUCUUCCGAUAUCUGCUUGAUUUGAUUUUGAGAUUUUCUUGCCAUAUCUGCUUUGCUUCUUUCCUUGUUGUGCAGGUACAAUCGGGGAUGCGGCUCGUACAGGGACUUCGGCUGCGGCGCGAAUGUGGAAAACUGCCUAGGGUUUCCCUUGUGCUGGAAACGCUGGGCCUCUGUCUUGUUUUGGGUCCGGGCCAUAUAGGCCAACUGUAAUUUGGGCCCUUGUUUUAAAAUGGGCCAUGUAUUCUGGGCCGUUUUAUUUACUUCAUGUAGGCCGGGUAAAAUUUAGGUAUUACAACUGCCCCUCUUUGCUCGUUAUCGUGUAACGAGAACGGAGCAAAGACUUUAAAAAUGCCAAAUUUUGCCCGUCGUGCUGGGUUUCGGUACUGUUCUUCUUCAAGUAGCCUCAUUCCUUCCUACUGCAUCUUUAGAGGUAUAGGAGCUAGUGCUUCAAUCUACUCCACUGCAAUGUCAGGGAGAUAAGACUUAUAGCUUCAACUUGAUCUGCUGCAAUUUAAAGAUGAAUUUGAUGCGAUCUACUCUACUGCAACUUCAGAGAGAUAAGAUCUGUUAUUUUAAUCUGCUCCGCUGUAACCUCAGGGAGAUAGGAUUAUCGACUUUAAUCUGCUCCACUGCAACCUCAGGGAGAUAAGAUUUGCCAUCUUCGAUCUGCUCUACUACUACUUAGGGAGAUAAGAUCUGUAAUUUUCAACCUGCUCCACUGCAACUUAGGGAGGCAAGGCUGGUGUCUUCAAUCUGCUUCACUGUUAGUAUAGGAAGGUAAGAUCUGCUAUCUUUAACCUGCUCCGCUACCACCGAGGGAGGUAAGGCUAGUUUCUUCAAUCUGCUUCACUGUCAGUACAAGAAGGUAAAAUCUGCUAUCUCUAACCUGCUCCGCUGCCACUGAGGGAGGCAAGGCUAGUGUCUUCGAUCUACUCCACUACUACUUAGGGAGAUAAGAUCUGCAAUUUUCAACCUGCUCCGCUGCAACCCAGGGAGGCAAGGCUAGUGUCUUUGAUCUACUUUGCUAUCGGUACAGGAAGGCAAGAUCUGCUAUUUUUAACCUGCUCCGCUGCAACCCAGGGAGGCAAGGCUAGUGUCUUCGAUCUACUUCGCUGUUAGUAUAGGAAGGCAAGAUCUGCUAUCUUCAACCUGCUCCACUACGACCUAGGGAGGCAAAGCUGGUAUCUUCUAUCUGCUUCACUGUCGGUACAGGAAGGUAAGAUCUGCUAUCUUUAACCUGCUCUACUAAAACCCAGAGAGGCAAGGCUGGUAUCUUCGAUCUGCUUCGCUCUCGAUGAAUGAAGGCAAGAUCUGCUAUCUUCAACUUGUUCCACUACAACCAAAGGAGGCAAGGCUGGUAUCUUCGAUUUGCUUCACUGUCGGUGUAGGAAGGCAAAAUCUGCUAUCUUCAACCUGCUCCACUACAACCCAGGGAGGCAAGGCUGGUAUCUUCGAUCUGCUUUGCUGUCGAUGCAGGAAGGCAAGAUCUGCUAUCUUCAACCUGCUCCACUACAACCCAGGGAGGCAAGGCUGGUAUCUUCGAUCUGCUUCGCUGUCGAUGCAGGAAGGCAAGAUCUGUUAUCUUCAACCUGCUCCACUACAACCGAGAGAGGCAAGGCUGAUAUCUUCGAUCUGCUUCGCUGUCGAUGUAGGAAGGCAAGAUCUGUUAUCUUCAACCUGCUCCACUACAACCCAGGGAGACAAGGCUUUGUGAUUUCACCGAUUUGUUCUCUGAGGAACAUGACCUGUAUAAUGAACCUAAAUAUGCCUAAAAUUAGGAUGGCAUGAUCGAAAUGCAUCAAAUUCUCCUAACUAGACAUAUGUGAAUGGUGUUUGCAUGAAUGUAGAAUGCUAUUGUUGAGAAUGAUCCACUUUUUUGCUUAAGUUAUCAUUGCUCGAAGUUUAUUAAGGCUUUAUCACUAACGUGUUACAACGCUUUCUUGCUCGACUGGCGUCUCCAAUUAGUCAGAUUUCCCCUACUGUAAACCUCAAAGUUCAAUCUACUAGGACGUAAAAUUUGUACCAUCAUUCUCCCACUACAACCCGAGGGUAGAAAUAUAUGGCCUCUUCUCAAUCCACUCCUAUCACAAUUCAAGGAUACAGAAUGUAAAAUUCUUUGGCCUUUUACACCAUGCCUAAGGUGUCGCACCAAAGGCUCAUGUGCAAAUGAAGUUUUUCUUCUCCAAGGAAACCUCUUCUCAUUACCUGGUGACCAUUGCUCGCUUGUUUAUUUUAGCUUUUUCACCAACCUGACAUCCUAUCACUUUGCUCGAUCAAUGUUUUUGAUAACAGAAUCCAAAGAGAAAGUCCUAAUUUAGACUUUUCCUUCUUAAAUUUCCAACCUUUAAACUUAGUGCGUUCUAAACAAUAGUCAUGUUUCAGGUUCCUGUAUUAUUUAGAAACUUCUAAAGUAAUAUGCAAAACUUCCCUUGUGAAAGUUUUAUUAGUCCAUUAAUCAUUAUUCCAAUGCAACAUGCUUGUAAAAAGGUCACGACAAUGGAUAAGAAUAAAGUUAGUUUUGAGCAUAGUUCGAAAGGAAUAAAUUAUCAAAAAUAGUAAAGAAGGAUAGCAAAGAAAUUGAUUGAGAAUAUGUAUCUUGGAAAAGAAUGAAGUAUUCCAAGAACAACAAAUUCAAUAGUAUGAAAAUUGGGUGCCCCAGAUAUCACAGCUUGAACUUCUCUGUACAAACUUUCUGAAGACCCUUCUGAGUUUAACAUGUGUUUGAGAGAUCUACAGUACUCUGUCGAUGCCUCAAGAUGUUGCCUACCCUUUCCUAUUGAUCCAGAUCACUACAUGCCCCAAUCUGAUCAAGAUUUGAGUUUUUCUGAUCACAUCAUGCUCCAUUUUGAUCAAUAUUUGAGCCGCCCUUUUCGAGUUUUCAACUCAAAUCCCUUUUGGUCUCAAGGCGCCCUUUGCGGAUUUUCGUAUUGGCCUCUCCUUUUGCUUUUUCUUCUUCUCUUUUUUGAAUUUUUUUUAUUGAAUCUAAACUCGUAGGAUUAAGUGUGUCCUUGUUAUCGACGCUUUUCCAGAUAAGGCCCUCCACAUAAGGUCCUUCCCAGCUUGGGAUGAAGUUCUUUUUAUAUGGGACAGAUCUUCUUCAAUACCAGGUCUCUCUCAAAGAAUUCUCUAGGGCGGACCUUUUUUGUGUAUCAUUUGCUUUUGACGCAUUUGACCAUGAUGGAUAACUUUGAACAUUCCUCUUCAAUCGGAAUUAAUCCAAAAAGUCAGAGAAAAUAUUGUCUUCAAUAGGUAAAAUCGCGAUGAGCCCAAGAGAAAGGUAUUGCCCCGGUAGAGUUUUUUUUUGCGCCAUAUUUUUUUGGACGAUUAAUUGUGAACAAACUGCAAACUUUUGAUAUUCUGCUGUUGUUCAAAUUUAGUACAUUGUCAGAUAUGAUCCUUUUGGCGUUUCAUACUGACAUAUGAUUCUUCAAGAAUUUGCUAACUGUCGACUUUAUGACAUUAGCAUACGAAGCAGCUUCCACCCAUUUAGUAAAGUAAUUGACGAUCACAAAGAUGAAUUGAUGACCGUUAGACUCUUUUGGCGAGAUCGACCAAAUAACCUUCAUGCCCCACAUAAGGAGAAGUCAUAUAUCCCAAUAAUUUUUGUAGGGUAAAAUCCAUUUCUCGACUUGUUCUACCAUCCUUAACAAGUUCAGAAAUAGACUACAAUCUAUGUCAUCUUCAAAGUUAUGAGAUCCUUCUAAACACAUAUCUCACUCAAAAGGAGAUUCUAAGUCUGUAGCAACGUCACUCAUGUCAUUGAGAUCUGGGGACCCAUAGUAAAUGCAAAAGAAUAUACAAAAGAAUGUGUGAAUUUACGAAUAAUUAUUUGUACAAUAUAAUUAUGAAUGAAAGAAUGAUGUGGAAGAAAAUCCAAAAGAAUGAAAGAAUAAUUAUUCUCAAAGAAUGAAAGAAUAUUGGCUAAAAAAUAAAUGUAAAGAUGUAUUUUAUUAGAAUAAUGAUGUUUAGACAUGAGCCUAUUUCACAAAAGAAGUCCUAUCAUUUUAAGGCUAAAAACAACAAGAAUGUUCUGAACAUUACUCUAAAUAAGCUCUAAAAACUACAGAGAUUUCUUCCGCAAUCCAAUUAUUUUGAACACUCCCAAAUUUAUGAGGGCGGACAUCUAACAAGGUCCCUUUUCAAUUGUGUCAUUGAUGUGAACGCUUCCCAACACUUCUUCAUUCAUUGCAUUCUCCCCAUUAUCAAUAUGGUUGGGGUAGCAGAUUUUCUGCAUUGAAUGAGUCAUCCAACUUGACAAUACCCAUGUUGAUGAAAUUUUCAACUAGCUUUUUGAAGGUAAUGCAAUUCUCUAUUAAGUGCCCCGUAAUACCCGCAUGGUAAUCACAUUGUGCGUUCGCAUCAUACCACUUGGGAUACGGAGGUUAUGGAGGUUUUAAGUAGGAAGGGGCAACAAUGUGUACAUUAAACAAGUUUUAAUACAGCUUCUUAUACGACAUCGGAAUUGGUGUGAAUUGGAGCUUCUCAGUACCUUGUUUCACUCCAAGUUCUUAUCUUAAUGAACCUUGCUGAUUAGCAAUCGAUUUGCUAUACGUAUUCACGCUAUUCACCUCAUUUUCUCUUUCAUUUGAGGCUUGCUUUCUGUUAUUUCCUCCAACAUCAAUCUUUCCACUCCUUAUGGCGCUUUCAAUCAUUUCACCGUUCAUGACUAUGUCAGAGAAGCUCUUUGUGGCACUUCCUAACAUAUAUGUGAUGAAUGGGGCUUUCAAUGUAUUUAUAAAGAGUACUGUCAUUUCUCUUUCCAAGAGCGGUGGCUGAACUUGGACGGCGACCUCCCUCCAUCUCUGUGCGUAUUGCCUAAAACUUUCACCGGGUUUCUUUUCCAUGUUUUGUAGAGUGAUUCUAUCAGGUACCAUGUCGGUCACAUGAUUGUACUACUUUAUGAAUGCCUGUAUUAAAUCUCUCCAUGAAUUAAUCUUGGUACGGCUCAAUUGAUUGUACCACUUGGAUGCUGCCCCUGUGAGGCUAUCCUGGAAGUAAUGUAUUAGCAGUUGGUCGUUAUUGACAUACCCAGUCAUUCUUCUGCAAAACAUGGUAACAUGAGCUUCGGGGCUACUAGUUUCGCUGUACUUCUCAAACUUUGGCAUUUUGAAUUUGUAAGGGAGUACUAAAUCCGGAACCAGACUUAAUUCUUUAGCAUUCAUCCCAUAGUAGCUCUCAGCACAUUCCAUCGCUCUAAAUUUCUCUUCCAGCCAUUUGCACUUUUCCUCUAGCUGUUUUGGUAAUUCAUCAUUCAUUUUCUCCUUCCCAGCUGUUUCAUCGAAGUCAGGGAUAGCAGGAUUAACAAGGUUGGCUCCGGGGUUAGAGCCUGAUCCAGUAUGAAAAUUCAUUGUAGCGCCAUCCUGAAAUUGCUGAGGCUUAAUGGUGACAGAGGACUUGCACGGAUAUAUCUCAACUUGCUGAGGGGUAACGCCUGAAGGAUAGACAGGUCCCUCACUGUCUCUUUCUUCUACGUUAAGCACAUAGCUUUUUCCUUUAUCAAUUCCUCCAGUCAACAACUGAGUCAACUUAGCCAUCAUAGUCCCUUGAGAUUCCAUUAUUUUAUCCGUUAUUUUUUGUUGAAUCUUCUUAAGCUACUCAUCCAUUUGUUGUUGAAGCUGAUCUUGCAUUUCUUUUUGGAACUGUUCUAGUUUUUGGUCCAUGUCUUUAGUCUUUGAUUGAGUACCGUAGCGAUGUUUGGUAGGUUGGUUGGUUUCUAGAUUAACUGAGGAAUGAUUUUAAUCGAUUAAAUUCUUUUAAUAUUUUUUAAUGCAUAUGAAGCAAUGCAAUCCAUGAAAUGAAUGCAAAAAAGAUGUUGAUUCUGAUUCAAUUACAUUUAGAAAACUUUACUAGAAAGUAAAUUUCUUUACAUAAAGCAGAUACAUGUACGACCAUUCCCUUCUAUUCCAAGAGACAAUAUCGAUCUUUUUCUUCAUCCGCAUGUUGAAGAUAAAUCCCGCUAAUUUCCAAUAGAUGCCACUGCUAGCUCUCGUUUUCUUGAUCCUGGUCACGAUCCACCGUUUUCCUAUUCUCGUAAUGCCCAUAAGCUUCUUUAAGGGAAUUAGAACGUCGAAAGCUGUUAGACAAUCAUCUUAAAUCCUCAGGCCAUGAAGUAAAGUCACAAACUCUUCUAUCACCCUUCUUGUGUUUCUCAGAAUAUAUUCAAUCAGCCGUAUUAUUAUCCACUUUAUCAAGAAACCCUUUUUCCAUGAUAAGCUUUCUAUCUAGUAACAAAAUAUGAAUCGACGCCUUUUACACAAAAAGUCGGUAUCAAAUAUAAACAUAGAAUAUAAUAGUAAAAUAUCUACUCGGAUAUCUACUAGGGUUUAGUAUAGUUCUACCUAGGGUGGAUUCCUAAGGUUCAUUAUAUGAGGUUUGGCUUCUAGAGCAAGGUACCCGAACUAGCAGAUUCCUCAAUCCUCACCCAUUAUAGGCUAAUAUGGACCGAGUUCAGUUCAGGGGAAUACGUUUCCCUAUGGUUACAUGGAGAUGAAAAUCUCACGAAGACAUAGGUACGGAUGUAUCCCGGAAGCGGUCCACUACCCUGCACGGAGGUGAAAACCUCAUGAAGGACUAGUUUCUCGCUCCCACUUAAAGGGUAAAAUCAUUCAACUCAUGUAAUGUGUAGUGCAAACAAUACUUAAAUACAUUAAGCAAGAAGAUAAUGAAUGCAAAAAGAUAUCAUGAAAAUUUUUAAAAAAAUACUUUCUCGACCAUAAGACAAAAAUUAAUCAGCUUUGUGGCUCGACUCUCUUAUUCUAAAAAAAAUGUCCCCAGUGGAGUCGCCAAGCUGUCGAAACCAUUUUUUGAAAACAAAAAAAAAAUUAGUUGUCGACUUUUAAAAAACAAAAAUUGGGAGUCGCCACCAAUCUUUUAUUGAGGUGUGAUUGGAGCAGCUAAAAAGAAAGCUUUGGUUUACGAGUUUUAGAAAAAUGGAUUCGGGAGUCGGUUACGUACGAGGAAGGAUUAGCACCCUCGUAAUGCCCAAAAAUUGGUACCAAAUUGAUUAAUUAAUGCCUUAAAGUCGAGAGUUAAAAAAUGCGAUCCUUAAUUAAAUUAUUUAUUAAGACUUUCUCAUUUUGAAAAAAAAAAAGAAAAAUAUCACACCCAAUGCGUUAGGGCACAACAUUUUAUUCUCUUCAAGAUGAGUUAGUCCAGAAAACUCGUGUGAUAAAGUUUAAGAAAACAUCUAAUUGUUUAAAAUUUAUGAAGAAAUCGCAGCCCAAUACGUUAGGGCACAAUUUCCUCAAAUCCCAAACAUUCAAUAUUUCCUUUAUUUUUCUUAAAAUAUCCUUGUCUCGAGAAAUCAACAUGUCACAUCCAAUACGUUAGGACACAACAUAUUGAAUCCCCAAUGACAAGUUUUAUUUUGUUUGAUUAAAGAGCAAUUCUCGAUUGUUAGAUUUAACGAAGAAAAUCGGAACCCAAUACGUCAGGGCUCAAUCUUCUCGAAAAUCCUAAAUACGAGUAUUAUCUCUAUUUUGAAAAAUUCCAUUUUUAGAUUCGAGUAAAAAGAUGCCGUAAUGUUCUGUUGAAUGUAUGAAUAAAUGCCUCUUAAACAAAUAUCAAUAAUAAAUACAACAAUUGCAUAGAAAUAAUAUGAAUAAAUAAAUAAAUAAAAAUAAUGACAUGCAAAAUAUCAAAUAAAUGAGCAAAAUAAUAAUAAUAAUAAUAAUAAAAUAUGAAAACAUAAAUUGAUAAACAAAUGAUUGAAAUAAACAAAAAAACAUAAAGAAUAAGAGACACAUAACAUAUACAUUGAAAUUAUGGAGGAAAAAAACAAACACGUGAUUUACAUAUAAAAUUUUGGAAUUAUAAAAUUUAUACAAACAAAAUACAUAAUACAAUAAAGAAAAAUAUAUAAAUAAAUAUAUAUAAAUUAUAAAAUAUGCGUAAAAAAUAUAAAUAUGUAUUUAAGCAUUUUCGAAAAUAAAAACAUAGAUAUAUACGUGUAUAUAUAUAUAUAUAUAUAUAUAUAUAAAGAUAAAAAAAAAUAUUCAUUAGAAAAAUAUAUAAAUAUAUACAUGUACAUAUAUAAAAAAUAAUUAUAUACAUAUAUAUAGAUUAUAAAAAAAGAUAAUUACAUAUAUAUAUAUAAAAACAAAUAAUAAUAAUUACAUAUAUUGAAAUUAAUUAAUUUUAAAAAAUAUAUAAAAAAAUUAUGAAGAAUAAUAUAAGAAAACAUACGUAUAUACAUAUUUAUCAAAGUAAAAAAAUAAAAGUGUAUAUAUAUGUAUAUAAAAGUUAUGCAAAUAGAAUAAUAAUAAAAAAUAUAUAAAAUAUGUAUAUGUAUUUAAGACAUUUAAAAUAUAUACAUAUAUAUAUUAUAAAAGACAUAUGCGUGUAUAUAUGUAGGUACAAUAAUAAUAAUAAUAUAUAAUAUAAUAAUAAUAAUUAAUACAAUAAGAAUGUAAAAAUAAUUAAUUUAAUAAUAAAUAACUAAUAACAAAUAGAGGACUAAAUUGAAACAAAAGUAAGACAUGUGGUUAAAUUCAAAAGAAAUAAAAAAAAAGUUUAAACACAUUUUGAAAAACAAUGGGGAUCAAAAGCGUAAAUAGACCAUCAAAGGAAAAUGCAGGCUCCAAACGGUAAGCUUUGUAUGCUACAUAAAGGUCACUUAAAACCUAAAUAAAAAAACCUAAGUUAUUUCUCUCCUGCGUGCGUCGUUUCUUCCCAAAACUCCUCCUUUUUCCUUCAUUUCGCACAGAACAGGGAAGGGCUUCGAGAGCACAUCACCCAGGUAUAGUUUCCCCUUUAUUUCUCUUUGAUUUAUGAAGAAAAGAACAAAGGAAAACAAAAGAAAAAGGAAUGAGAUCAAGGAAAAAAAGAAAAAAAAACAUUCAAAUUGCUCUUUAAUUCUCUGUUUUUUUUAAAUAGGUUUUGAUAUCAUCCCCCCUUCGUUCCAAAAAUAAAAAAAAAGGU